UACAGAGGAUGCAAGCGUUAUCCGGAAUGAUUGGGCGUAAAGCGUCUGUAGGUGGCUUUUUUAAGUCCGCCGUCAAAUCCCAGGGCUCAACUCUGGACAGGCGGUGGAAACUACCAGCUGGAGUACGGUAGGGGGCAGAGGGAAUUUCCGGGUGGAGCGGUGAAAUUCGUAGAUAUUAGGAAAGAACACCAGUGGCGAAGGGCGGCCCCACUGGAUCGGUACUGACGCUAGGUGCGAAAAGCGUGGGGGAGCAAACAGG
rnacentral:rRNA from 1 species